rnacentral:rRNA from 1 species
AUUGAACGCUGGCGGCACGCCUAACACAUGCAAGUCGAACGAGUGGCGGACGGGUGAGUAAUGUCUGGGAAACUGCCUGAUGGAGGGGGAUAACUACCGGAAACGGUAGCUAAUACCGCAUACCAUCGGAUGCGCCCAGAUGGGAUUAGCUAGUAGGUGGGGUAAAGGCUCACCUAGGCGACGAUCCCUAGCUGGUCUGAGAGGAUGACCAGCCACACUGGAAGUGAGACACGGUCCAGACUCCUACGGGAGGCAGCAGUGGGGAAUAUUGCACAAUGUGCGCAAGCCGGAUGCAGCCAUGCCGCGUGUAUGAAGAAGGCCGUCGGGUUGUAGAGUACUUGCAGCGGGGAGGCGUUACCCGCAGAAGAGGCACCGGCUAACUCCGUGCCAGCAGCCGCGGUAAUUAC